ACCGCCAUGGUGACUUGCAAGCAACUUACUACACUUAGGCACUGGACUAUCUGAAUUUCUAAUUCAGUGACGGAAGGCUGCUGGGUGUAGUCAAGUCUUGACUUGUCGGUGCAUGUGUUAAGAUGGGAUUGACCACUCUAGUUUAGGAGCUGUGUACUGUCAUAUUUUAAUUUAGCAAAAUCUUGGCCAGGGUAGUCCUUGUGAGGAGU
rnacentral:lncRNA from 1 species